GUUAUUUUGGCAGAUUAAUUGUAUUAAAUUUAGAAUUUAAAUAUGUAAUAGUAUUACAAAUAAUA
rnacentral:tRNA from 1 species